AUGGCUCAGAUUGAACGCUGGCGGCAGGCCUAACACAUGCAAGUCGAGCGGUAGCACAGAGAGCUUGCUCUCGGGUGACGAGCGGCGGACGGGUGAGUAAUGUCUGGGAAACUGCCUGAUGGAGGGGG
rnacentral:rRNA from 1 species